AUCUCCGACGUACGUCAGGGAAAGCGUUUCGAACUCGAAGUGGACGGGCCGGUGGACGACGCCGCUCUCGCCCG
rnacentral:tRNA from 1 species